GACGAACGCUGGCGGCGUGCUUAACACAUGCAAGUCGAACGAAGAGCGAUGGAAGCUUGCUUCUAUCAAUCUUAGUGGCGAACGGGUGAGUAACGCGUAAUCAACCUGCCCUUCAGAGGGGGACAACAGUUGGAAACGACUGCUAAUACCGCAUACGAUCUAAUCUCGGCAUCGAGGAUAGAUGAAAGGUGGCCUCUACAUGUAAGCUAUCACUGAAGGAGGGGAUUGCGUCUGAUUAGCUAGUUGGAGGGGUAACGGCCCACCAAGGCGAUGAUCAGUAGCCGGUCUGAGAGGAUGAACGGCCACAUUGGGACUGAGACACGGCCCAGACUCCUACGGGAGGCAGCAGUGGGGAAUCUUCCGCAAUGGACGAAAGUCUGACGGAGCAACGCCGCGUGAGCGAUGACGGCCUUCGGGUUGUAAAGCUCUGUUAAUCGGGACGAAAGGCCUUCUUGCGAACAGUGAGAAGGAUUGACGGUACCGGAAUAGAAAGCCACGGCUAACUACGUG
rnacentral:rRNA from 1 species